rnacentral:tRNA from 2 species
GCGUUAGAAGCUAACUUGGUAGAAGCACUGGCUUGAAAUCCCAGAGGAGUAGGUUCGAUUCCUACCUAUCGCA